rnacentral:rRNA from 2 species
CAGCCGCGGUAAUUCCAGCUCCAAUAGCGUAUAUUAAAGUUGUUGCAGUUAAAAAGCUCGUAGUUGAACCUUGGGCCUGGCUGGCCGGUCCGCCUCACCGCGUGUACUGGUCCGGCCGGGCCUUUCCUUCUGGGGAGCCGCAUGCCCUUCACUGGGCGUGUCGGGGAACCAGGACUUUUACUUUGAAAAAAUUAGAGUGUUCAAAGCAGGCCUUUGCUCGAAUACAUUAGCAUGGAAUAAUAGAAUAGGACGUGUGGUUCUAUUUUGUUGGUUUCUAGGACCGCCGUAAUGAUUAAUAGGGAUAGUCGGGGGCAUCCGUAUUCAAUUGUCAGAGGUGAAAUUCUUGGAUUUAUUGAAGACGAACUACUGCGAAAGCAUUUGCCAAGGAUGUUUUCAUUAAUCAGUGAACGAAAGUUAGGGGAUCGAAGACGAUCAGAUACCGUCGUAGUCUUAACCAUAAACUAUGCCGACUAGGGAUCGGUGGAUGUUAUCUUUUUGACUCCAUCGGCACCUUACGAGAAAUCAAAGUUUUUGGGUUCUGGGGGGAGUAUGGUCGCAA